CCAAGAUGCCCUUUUGUUCAAGCCCUUGAGAAACCUUCCUGGAAAAACCUGCACCAGCAGGAUUUGUUUGCUACUUGUUACUGGCACAAUGAAGGAGAGUCGUGUGUCAGUUGUCAUGGGAAGACACUCAGUAGUAAAACACAGGGAGGUACCUGGGAACUUUCCCUUUCAUGAGGGAAAUGAGACACACGUAGUGCUCACAGGAAACAGAGUUAGCUGUACACUGAAGACAGUUCAAAUGUGAAUGAUUUGCUUUGAAAUCAGUGCUUCCUAACUUUUCAAAUUUGGGCACAUGUAGAAAGUAUUUUUUAUACAGCACACUGGGGUUAAUGGUGGAGGCUGCUGAUGGCUGAAGGUGACUAAUGCGAGGGGCUUCCUUGAGCUAAGGAUGUGUGGGUCAGCAUCUCUACAGCAUCUGAGGAUUUCUGCUUGUAAUCACUUUGGUAGAAGUAACUCAUUAACUUUCAAGCCUUUCUCACAAAAUUCUCUUUAGUUUCUCUAAUCAGAGAAAAAUAUGAGAAGAAUCAAUGAUGAGACGAUGCAAACCCACACCAUACACUUUCCCGCGUCCCACCUCCCUUGCAGUUCUUUAACAGGCCAUGUGCAGGAGUGUCUGUGUGUGUGUGUGUGUGUGUGUGUGUGCGCACAUUUUGUGUGCACAAAAUGCGCCGUACAUUUGUUGACAUGUCUUCUCAGGAAUCCUGUUCACUGGGGAGCUCUGGGAGUUCUUGAGCUUUGCUGAAAGGUACCCUGCCAUCAUCUAUAACAUCCUGCUCUUUGGGCUGACCAGUGCCCUGGGUCAGAGCUUCAUCUUUAUGACGGUUGUGUAUUUUGGUCCCCUGACCUGCUCCAUCAUCACUACAACUCGAAAGUUCUUCACAAUUUUGGCCUCUGUGAUCCUCUUCGCCAAUCCCAUCAGCCCCAUGCAGUGGGUGGGCACUGUGCUUGUGUUCCUGGGUAAGUGGCCACACAGAGACACAGUGACAGCUGAAUUUUUUCUCCUAAAAUUUACUUGUAUAUUUAUGAAAUUUGUUUAAAUAUUUUAGAGAAAACUUUUCUCUUUUUUUUGAGACGGAGUUUCGCUCUUGUUGCCCAGGCUGGAGUGAGUGCAGUGGUACGAUCUCAGCUCACCAAUCGGGUGAGCCUCCUCCUCCUCCUGGGUUCAAGCAAUUCUCCUGCCUCAGCAUCCGGAGUAGCUAGGAUUACAGGCAUGCACCACCAUGCCCGGAUGAUUUUGUAUUUUUAGUAGAGAUGGGGUUUCUCCGUGUUGGUCAGGCUGGUCUCGAACUCCCAACCUCAGGUGAUUCCCCCCGCCUCAGCCUCCCAGAGUGCUGGGAUUACAGGCAUGAGCCACCGCGCUCAGCCCAGAGAAAACUUUUUUAAAAGAGAAAAGAGGCUGAGUGUGGUGGCUCACGCCUGUAAUUCUAACACUUUGGGAGGCUGAGGCAGGAGUAUCGCUUGAGUUUAGGAGUUCGAGACCAGCCUGGGCAACAUGAUGAGACCCUUGUCUCUGCAAAAAAAUACAAAAAUUAGCUGAGCAUGGUGGCAGACGCCUGUGGUCCCAGCUACUCGGGGCUGAGGUGGGAGGAUCGUUUGAGCCCAGGAGGUGGAGGCUGAGGUGAGCUGUGAUCACACCACUGCACUCCCACCUGGGUGACAGAGUGAAAAUCUGUAUCCAAAGAAAAUAAAAGGAGAAAAGGAAGCUUUAUUUCUAAUCCAGCCUUCCUAGGGUCUCCCUCUGUUGCUCAGGCUGGAGUGUAGUGGCAUGAUCAUAGUCCACUGCAACCUUGAUCUCCUGGACUCAAGUGAUCCACCCACCACAGCCUCCCGAGUAGUUGCGAUUAUAGGCAUGUACCACAAUACCUGACCAAUUUUUUUUUUUUUUUUUGUAGCGAUGGGGUCUUGCUGUGUUGCCUAGGCUGGCCUUAAACUCCUGGGCUCAAAUGAUCCUCCUGCCUCAGUCUCCCAAAAUGCUGGGAUUGCAGGUGUGAGUCACCACAUUCAGCCAUAGCCUAGAAGUUUUGACUCUUAAAUUUCUUUUAGUCUUGCUGUAUUAUAUAUGUAUCUAUAUCUAUCUGUAUCUCUAUAUAGAUAUAUUUAUAUAGAUACAGAUAUCUGUAAUAACUAGUAUCCUGGUGCCAUUCUCUUGUCUCUGAGGAAGUUACAUAAAACCAGUGUUCUGACAUGUAUUUUAUUUAAAGCCCCCAUUUUGGAGAUACAAGGCCGACUACCCCACCCCACCACAAUCAUUGGUAAGUUUCAUUUCCCCCCAUAAGGCUAAGCCCAUUUUCUUCCUUUUCAUAGGUCUUGGUCUUGAUGCCAAGUUUGGGAAAGGAGCUAAGAAGACAUCCCACUAGGAAGAGAGAGACUACCUCCACAUCAAGAAUAUUUAAGUUAUUAUCUCAAACAGUGACAUCUCUUGGGAAAAUGGACUUAAUAGGAAUAUGGGACUGAGUUCCAGUCUUUUUUAAUAAAAUAAAAUCAAGC
rnacentral:lncRNA from 1 species